UAAUUGAAGAGUUUGAUCAUGGCUCAGAUUGAACGCUGGCGGCAGGCCUAACACAUGCAAGUCGGGCGGUAACAGGGAGAAGCUUGCUUCUC
rnacentral:rRNA from 2 species